GAUGAACGCUAGCGGCAGGCUUAACACAUGCAAGUCGAGGGGCAGCACGGGUAGCAAUACUUGGUGGCGACCGGCGCACGGGUGAGUAACGCGUAUGCAACCUACCUUCAACUGGGGGAUAGCCCAGGGAAACUUGGAUUAAUACCCCAUAGUAUUUAUGAAUCGCAUGGUUUAUAAAUUAAAGUUCCGGCGGUUGAAGAUGGGCAUGCGUGCCAUUAGUUAGUUGGUGAGGUAACGGCUCACCAAGACAGCGAUGGCUACGGGGUCUAAAAGGAUGGUCCCGCACACUGGUACUGAGACACGGACCAGACUCCUACGGGAGGCAGCAGUGAGGAAUAUUGGUCAAUGGGCGCAAGCCUGAACCAGCCAUGCCGCGUGCAGGAAGACGGCCCUAUGGGUUGUAAACUGCUUUUGUACGGGAAUAAUAACUCCGACGUGUCGGAGGACGAAGGUACCGUACGAAUAAGCAUCGGCUAACUCCGUGCCAGCAGCCGCGGUAAUGUAGACGU
rnacentral:rRNA from 1 species